GAACAUUACCCCGUCGUUGGGGCGCUUCUGGCUCGCAUGCCGCGAUGAAGCCCGGCUGUGGAGCCACCGACUAAAGGUCGAGGAUCGUCAGAUAGCGGAUGCCUGGUGUUCACUUUUUUGUUCAAUGUAAACUAAUGUAAUCUUCAUCCCCGCCCCCACUUUCUUGCUUAAGAUCUAAUGUACUUGCAUUUGGCCGACCUUCAGGCCCUAUAAUGAAAUCAGGUGGGGCGCUC
rnacentral:lncRNA from 1 species